UACGUAGGUGGCGAGCGUUGUCCGGAUUUACUGGGCGUAAAGAGCGCGCAGGCGGUCGUACAAGUCGCGUGUGAAAGCCCCCGGCUCAACUGGGGAGGGUCACGCGAUACUGUUCGACUCGAAGGCAGGAGAGGGAAGUGGAAUUCCCGGUGUAGUGGUGAAAUGCGUAGAUAUCGGGAAGAACACCCGUGGCGAAGGCGGCUCUCUGGGACGGUACUGACGCUGAGACGCGAAAGCGUGGGGAGCGAACAGG
rnacentral:rRNA from 1 species